rnacentral:rRNA from 1 species
CCUACGGGGGGCAGCAGUAGGGAAUCUUUCACAAUGGGCGAAAGCCUGAUGGAGCAACGCCGCGUGCAGGAUGAAGGCCUUCGGGUUGUAAACUGCUUUUAUAAGCGAGAAAUAUGAUGGUAACUUAUGAAUAAGGCUCGGCUAACUACGUGCCAGCAGCCGCGGUCAUACGUAGGAUCCGAGCAUUAUCCGGAGUGAAUGGGUGUAAAGAGUUGCGUAGGUGGGAUAAUAAGUAGCUAGUGAAAUCUGGUGGCUCAACCAUUCAGACUAUUAGCUAAACUGUUAAGCUCGAGACCGUUAGUGGUAACUGGAAUUUCUAGUGUAGGAGUGAAAUCCGUAGAUAUUAGAAGGAACACCAAUAGCGUAGGCAGGUUGCUGGGACGGUUCUGACACUAAGGCACGAAAGCGUAGGGAGCAAACGGGAUUAGAUACCCGAGUAGUC